CCACAUCACGUUGAAGUCACCUGUUCCUGUACGAUCACCGAAGCUAAUCAAUGGUGAACCUGGUCAAUACCUAGCUGGGUGACCGCUUGGGAAUAUCAGGUGAUGUAGG